rnacentral:ncRNA from 1 species
UAAAGGUUUGGUCCUAGCCUUCCCAUUAGCUAUUAACAAGAUUACACAUGUAAGUCUCCGCGCUCCAGUGAAAAUGCCCUUUGGAUCUUAAAGUGAUCUGAAGGAGCGGGCAUCAAGCACACCCCUCCCCGGUAGCUUAUAACGCCUUGCUCAGCCACACCCCCACGGGAUACAGCAGUGAUAAAAAUUAAGCCAUAAACGAAAGUUUGACUAAGCUAUGUUGAUUAAAGGGUUGGUUAAUUUCGUGCCAGCCACCGCGGUUAUACGAUUGACCCAAGUUAAUAGGCCCACGGCGUAAAGCGUGUGAAAGAAAAAAAUUUUUCCCCCAUUAAAGUUAAAGUUUAAUCAAGCUGUAAAAAGCUACCAAUAACACUAAAAUAGACUACGAAAGUGACUUUAAUACUCUCAACCACGCGACAGCUAAGAUCCAAACUGGGAUUAGAUACCCCACUAUGCUUAGCCUUAAACAUAAAUAAUUUAUCAAACAAAAUUAUUCGCCAGAGAACUACUAGCAACGGCUUAAAACUCAAAGGACUUGGCGGUGCUUUAAACCCCCCUAGAGGAGCCUGUUCUGUAAUCGAUAAACCCCGAUAGACCUCACCACCCCUUGCUAAUCCAGUCUAUAUACCGCCAUCUUCAGCAAACCCUUAAAAGGAAAAAGAGUAAGCACAAUCAUCUUGCAUAAAAAAGUUAGGUCAAGGUGUAACUCAUGGGAUGGGAAGAAAUGGGCUACAUUUUCUAUUCAAGAACAACCUACGAAAGUUUUUAUGAAACUAAAAACUAAAGGUGGAUUUAGUAGUAAACCAAGAAUAGAGAGCUUGGUUGAAUAAGGCAAUGAAGCACGCACACACCGCCCGUCACCCUCCUCAAGUGGCACAAGUCAAAUAUAACCUAUUAAAACCAAAUAAAACGCAAGAGGAGGCAAGUCGUAACAAGGUAAGCGUACUGGAAAGUGUGCUUGGAUAAAC